AAUAAUAAUAUUUUUUCAGAGAACCUACAUAAGAAAGACUACCAUUAGAGUAUGAAAAACAAAAAAAAAUACACAAAAACUCUCUUGUAACAUUUUUGGAAAUUUAAUCAUAAAAAAAUGGAGAGAGCCCAUAGAGAGGCUCUCUCCAUUGGAGAUGCUCUAAGUAAUCUGAACGAUUUGUAUGAUUAAAGAUAAGC
rnacentral:sRNA from 1 species